GUCUACGGCCAUGCCACCCUGAACAAGCCCGAUCCCGUCUGAUCUCGGAAGCUAAGCAAGGUCGGGUCUGGUUAGUACUUGGAUGGGAGACCACCUAGGAAGACUAGGUGCUGUAGGAG
rnacentral:rRNA from 1 species